GCCCGCCGCGCGGCCACCGCUCUCCUAAAGCGGGUGCCGCAGGUUCGAAUCCUGCCGGGGGCA
rnacentral:tRNA from 1 species